UCUCUCUUAUCCCCAUUUCACCUCUUUCUCCUAUUAUCACUCCUCCUCUCCUGUUUUGAAUAUUGAAUUGGCAAAAAUUUCACGUUCUCUCUCAGAUAUUUCUUUCAAUUUUUGCAGAAUGGAUGAAUCAUCUCCAUCUAUGAGGUUUACCAGAGAUAUGUCAUUGCAUGUCAAUAUUGUUGACAAAUUACCCUCGCUUUCAAUUGGUUUGACCGAAGAUUUUGAGGUUAAUGUCGGGCUAUGACAAAAUUCAAACAAGUUCAAGAUGAACAAUCAAUUGAAGAAUUGAGAUCAAAGAAAAAAAAUUUCAAUGGAGGUUCAGAAAGUUACUAACAACGCCAUAGCUAGCGCCAUUAGAAUUAUUGAAGGAGGAACUAAGAGGAAAGCCAUAACAAGUGAGGCAGAGGUGAGUGAAUGUGAAAUUGGCAGAUCUAAAGAACAUCAAGAUCAUCAAGUAGAGCUUAAAAUACAAUUUUAGAUAGAAUAGAGUUAUGUGAAAAGAUACAUAAAAUUGUCUGUUAAAGUAAUUUUUUAAUAUACAUAAUUGUAUAUAGUAAUAUUGCAUGUUUAAUUCACAGAUGUUUUAGUUAUUUGUAUAUUUCCAUUAGUUAUAUAAACGAAAGACAUAAAAAAUACUUUAAGUAGAUGUAUAGUUUAUGCCAAAAAUUAUAUUGUACUCCCUCCGUCCCAUUUUAUGUGA